AUUGAACGCUGGCGGCAUGCUUUACACAUGCAAGUCGAACGGUAACAGGCCGCAAGGUGCUGACGGGUGGCGAACGGGUGAGUAAUGCAUCGGAACGUGCCCAGUCGUGGGGGAUAACGCAGCGAAAGCUGCGCUAAUACCGCAUACGAUCUAUGGAUGAAAGCGGGGGACCGAAAGGCCUCGCGCGAUUGGAGCGGCCGAUGUCAGAUUAGGUAGUUGGUGGGGCAAAGGCUCACCAAGCCAACGAUCUGUAGCUGGUCUGAGAGGACGACCAGCCACACUGGGACUGAGACACGGCCCAGACUCCUACGGGAGGCAGCAGUGGGGAAUUUUGGACAAUGGGCGCAAGCCUGAUCCAGCAAUGCCGCGUGCAGGAAGAAGGCCUUCGGGUUGUAAACUGCUUUUGUACGGAACGAAACGGUCCGGGCUAAUACCCUGGGCUAAUGACGGUACCGUAAGAAUAAGCCCCGGCUAACUCCGUGCCAGCAGCCGCGGUAAAAC
rnacentral:rRNA from 1 species